rnacentral:tRNA from 1 species
UGCAUCGGCCGGGAAUCGAACCCGGGGCGCCCGCCACUAUAAUAUAUAAAUGCGUUUUAAAAAUUGUAAAAAAAAAAAAAAAUGCAUCGGCCGGAAAUCGAAUCGGGGCGCCCGCGUGGCAGGCGAGCAUUCUACCACUGAACCAAAAGC